rfam:Ovis aries breed Texel chromosome 6, whole genome shotgun sequence.
UCUCUGGUGUCUCAGGCUGUAAAGAACCUGCCUGCAAUGCAGGAGACCUGAGUUCAAUCCCUGGGUUGGAGAA